UGAGGAAUACAUCGGAAUCUACCUUUUCGUGGGGGAUAACGUAGGGAAACUUACGCUAAUACCGCAUACGACCUUCGGGUGAAAGCAGGGGACCUUCGGGCCUUGCGCGAAUGAAUGAGCCGAUGUCGGAUUAGCUAGUUGGCGGGGUAAAGGCCCACCAAGGCGACGAUCCGUAGCUGGUCUGAGAGGAUGAUCAGCCACACUGGAACUGAGACACGGUCCAGACUCCUACGGGAGGCAGCAGUGGGGAAUAUUGGACAAUGGGCGCAAGCCUGAUCCAGCCAUACCGCGUGGGUGAAGAAGGCCUUCGGGUUGUAAAGCCCUUUUGUUGGGAAAGAAAUGCAGUCGAUUAAUACUCGGUUGGUAUGACGGUACCCAAAGAAUAAGCACCGGCUAACUUCGUGCCAGCAGCCGC
rnacentral:rRNA from 1 species